GACGAACGCUGGCGGCGUGCCUAAUACAUGCAAGUCGAACGCAGUGGGGACGGGUGAGUAACACGUGGGUAACCUCCCAUCAGAGGGGAUAACACUUGGAAACAGGUGCUAAACCGAUACUGAUGGAUGGACCCGCGGUGCAUUAGCUAGUUGGUGGGGUAACGGCCCACCAAGGCCACGAUGCAUAGGCGACCUGUUAGGGUGGGCGGCAACACUGGAACUGAGACACGGCCCGUACUCCAACGGAAGGCAGCAUGAGGGAAUCUUAGGCAAUGGACGAAAGUCUGACCGAGAAACGCCGCGUAAGGGAAGAAGGUUUUCGGAUCGUAAAACUCUGUUGUUAGAGAAGCGGUAUCUAACCAGAAAGCCACGGCUAACUACGUGCCAGCAGCCGCGGUAAUAC
rnacentral:rRNA from 1 species